UCGAGAAUUUUUCACAAUGGGCGCAAGCCUGAUGGAGCGACGCCGCGUGGGGGAUGAAGGGCUUCGGCUCGUAAACCCCUGUCAGUCGCGAACAAUGCCUUAGGGUGAACAGCUUUAAGGUUGAUAGUAGCGACAGAGGAAGGGACGGCUAACUCUGUGCCAGCAGCCGCGGUAAUACAGAGGUCCCGAGCGUUGUUCGGAUUCACUGGGCGUAAAGGGUGCGUAGGCGGCCUUGCAAGUCUGAUGUGAAAUCUCCGGGCCCAACCCGGAAAUGGCAUUAGAAACUGUGAGGCUGGAGGCUUGGAGGGGGAACUGGAAUACUUGGUGUAGCAGUGAAAUGCGUAGAUAUCAAGUGGAACACCGGUGGCGAAGGCGAGUUCCUGGACAAGACCUGACGCUGAGGCACGAAAGCCGGGGGAGCGAAACAGGAUUAGAUACCCUGGUAGUCCCGGCUGUAAACGGUGCACGUUGCUGUAAGCGGAAUCGACCCCGUUUGU
rnacentral:rRNA from 1 species